UCAGGUGUAACAGCAUCAGCAUCAUAAAGCAUAAAAAGCAUACAAUAAAACAAGCUAAUAUGACUGCAAAAACAUUAAUACCUUUAGCUUAAAGCUUAAGCUGCUUCUUAAAGAAGUCAACAGAGUCAGCCUCAGGGAGACACAGAGACUGGGCGUUCCACAAUCCAGGAGCUCUAGCUUUAAAGGACAGGUUCCCUCACAUUUUAAAUCURGUUUUAGGAACCUUUAAAGGAUUUUAGCUUGCAGACCAAAGAUCAACAUUUCUGUAAUWUACUGUCCAUUAAGAGCUCUAAAAGUCAAGACUGAAAUUUUCGAYGACGCCGGUGGACGUCCAAAUUCUUGAAGCGAGCUCCAUUGGUUUCACAGUGYGCCAGUUUAGCUGUGUUUAACUUAAAAAAAUUGGGAAAACUGCAUGAAAUUCCACCGGAAGAACUAAAAACAUUGCACUAACAGUGACUCAGGAUACAGCCAUCAUCCUCAGGAGUAUUUUUGUCACUUUUCCUAAGCUAAGGUGCAGACUAACAGCUGGAUUUGACCGCAAAAAAGUGCAACCAUGGACUUAAUGUCUGCUAGUUGAAGCACUUUGCAGCAUGGGACACUUCCAGCAGGAAAGUCAGGGUUGUUUUGCAGAAACAACUAUGCCACGCAGACAAUAAUGUCUAAGUUUUUUUGCAUUUAAAGAUGUAUUUUAUCUUUUUCUUUUUCCUUUUCCAGUCUUUUACUUGCACCUUAUUCUCUACCAGACCAGCUUCAUUAAUCUAAAAACCGUAUGGAAGUCUAACUUGUCCUGGGGUGUGUUUUACUUAAAGAACUUUGGUAGUUCUUCCACCUUGAAGCUUUUUUUUUCACACUAAAACUAUGAUUAAUGGUGGAGGUGUUGCAGCACCAAAGGAACAGUCUUAUCUCUAAAACACACACGGCUCGGCUAUCCAMUAGCGUUAUCUCCUCCCUGCAAGACUUAAAUGCCCAGCGAACACACUGCAACACACACGAGCACACAGGCUCAGUUACUCUUUGGAUGAAGAUUAAAGGGGAAGARGUAAAAGCACGAGUAAGGAUUGAAGCUAUGAAGUAAAUUUAAAGUACUUGGUACAAGCAAAUGAAAAGAAAAAACCCUGAGUCAUACAAACUCCUGAGAAACCACGAGGAGUUGAGUGUGUCUCUUUAAGAGGCGUGAGGAAGAAAACUGAAAGUAUUCAGGCUUCCUGUGUGGGAAAACACCCAGUUGCUCCAAUCCAGGCCCACAGAACACGUAAGUAGAUCUUUUCUGAGUCCAGAAGUUUUGGGAUUUGAGGACCUGCAGUUAAAUCCCUGCUGUCUCUUAUGAGAAAUACAAACUAACAGCCUUAUAGACWGAAUAAUAAGUGAGCUUCAUCCUCUGCAGGCUCAGUUGUGUAAACAAAGAAAUGCUCAUGAAGGUGCUUUUGUCACUGCUGAUUUAGGAGUUAAUGUUAAACUUCAACCGUUUUAUGAGGUCUUUCUUUUAAWGUUUAUCUUUUAAAGCUUUGAAUCUCAAUAAAAUCAAAUGGUUCUUUAAUGUUAAACAGACUCCACAUGAUUCUGUACCUKGAACACAACCAGCCUUUUAGAACCAGAUCUGGAUAUUACGUUACUUUUAUUAUUAAAACUUUAAUAUUGCACCUUUGCUAAAAUAUUUUCCUGGUACAGGAUUUUGACAAAUGCGGGACAAUAUUACAUCUUGCAUGAUUUCAAACAGUCAAUGCAUUUUAUAUCUAAAUGUUGAUGCAAAAGAAUUCUGUGAAAGUGUUUGAGUGAUAUGAAUUUGACUUUUGAGCUGUUAAAAYGCUCAAACAAUAAGUUUAAUCAAAAUACAUGUAAACAAAAAGGUUUUGUACAAGUUUACUCAUCUACUCUGAAAAAAAAAAGUAUUUUAGCACUAAAAGAUCUGCUUAUUGCCAUUUAUUCCCCCCCAAAAAACUGACUUUUAACUAAUUGAAUGUUUUCUGUGUUUGAAGAAAUGGCAUCCAGCAGCAGUUUGUCUGAGGACCAGUUUCUUUGUCCCAUCUGUCUCGAUGUCUUCAUCAGACCUGUGUCCACGCCGUGCGGACACAACUUCUGCAUGUCCUGCAUCCAGUCCUACUGGGACGACAYGCCGCACUGGGAGUGUCCAAUGUGUAAGGAAUAUUUUACGAACAGGCCCAACCUGAAAGUCAAUACUUUCAUUUCAGAGCUGGUGUCCCACGUCAGAUCGCUCCGUCUGACAGACAGUCCUGUCCAGAGUCCUCGUCCUGACGACGACGUGCGCUGCGACGUCUGUGGCGACUCCCAGACGGCCGCUGUCAAGUCCUGUCUGGAGUGUCUGGCGUCGUACUGCGGCAGACACCUGGAGCCACAUUACGCAGCCUCUGGACUGAGGAGGCACACGCUGUUGGAACCUGUGGCGAACUUGGCGAACAAGAUCUGCAGGAAGCACCGCCGGCUGCUGACGCUGUUCUGCAGCAGCGACGGCUCGGUGCUCUGCGACUUCUGCGUCGGCGCGGAACACGUGAACCACGACGUGGUCCCCCUGCAGCGGGGGUACGACCAGACGAAGGCCCUGCUCGGGCGGUCGGAGGCCAAGGUGCAGCGGAUGAUUCAGGAACGGCUGCAGAAGGUCCAGAACGUGAGGGCGUCGGUGACGGAGAGCAAGGCGAAGGCAGAAGAGGUGAUUGCCAAGAGCRUGCAGGACUUAACGGAGCUGGGGUUGGAGAUUAAGAAGGUCCAGGCGGAGCUCGUCAAGGCGGUGGAGGAGAAGCAGAAAGCAGCGGAGCAACAAGUGGAGGGGUUUAUCGGCGAUAUGGAGAGGGAGCUUUGUGAGUUAAAGGCAACGGCGAGGAACAUGGAGAUGCUCAGACAAACUAAAGAUCAGCUCAGUUUCCUCCAGAGUUACCCAAACCAGUGCUUACUGCCACACACCAUGGACCUGUCCACCUUCAGCUUUAACCACCACCUGGAGAUCCAGCACAUGCAGAAAUAUUUCAGAAACUCCAUCUCACAGCUGCAGGCGUUACUGGUGCAAAUAAACGAGGAAAUAAAUAAAUUCUCCAGCGGCGCGAGAGACGCCUCAAACGACGUCACGCUCAGAUACAUGCAGCAGUACGAGGCGAGCAUCCUGCUCGACCCCGACUCCGCUCACCCACUGCUCAGUCUGUCUGCCGACGGGAAACAGGUGAGGUACAACACGGGUACGGGUCUGUGGGGAAACCAGGUCCCGACUCACAACAUGUUCACCUCGCACCUCGCAGUUCUGGGACGGAUGGGCUUCUCGGCUCGGAAGUUUUACUUUGAGGUUUACGUGGGUCAGAAGACGGAGUGGAUUCUGGGCGUGGCCACGGCGUCCAUCCAGAGGGUCGGAGAGAUCGUCCGGAACCCUGACCGCGGACUCUGGGCCGUCUGGUUUCUGGUAGAUCGGUUUGAAACCUUCGAUUCUCCCGGUGUGACGGUGCACGUUGGGAAAGUGGAGAGGGUCGGGGUGUUUGUCGAUUACGACGGAGGUGAAAUAUCGUUCUUCGACGUCGUCAGAGCAACACCUAUUCACUCGUUUACUGAAUGUUUCUUCACCGAGGAGCUCUAUCCGUACUUCAACCCCUGUGACAAUGAGUACGGGUCGAACCUGGACCCGAUGGUGAUUGUUCCUGUUUGUACAGAGUGAGCAUAAAGUGAUAUAUUCAGCGAACACAUUUUCGUCAUUUAGCUCAUUACAUCUCAACCCCCUUCAGGUGUUCACCUGUAUCWURACCCUCAAACAUCCUUCAUUUUCAUAAAGAAUCUUGAGUACCCAUACGCGAGGAUGGUCUGCAGGGAAAGAUGGAACGUGGGGCAGAGAUAAAAGCGCCUGCAGAGCAGAGGAGCAGGGAAAGGAGGACGAGGAGAGACUCUUGAAUUCGUCUCGACGCCCUCGGCGCUCACACCCUCCUCGGUGCCACGACAGCCAUACUCUGCCCAUCGCCAUGGGAACGCUCAGCCUCCCUGGUCCUAUAAUCCAUUUUCCUGCCACAAUGAGUGCUUGACACGGUUCACAGUCGCAGGCUUGUGUGCUGUCUGUGUGGCGACGCACGCUUCUUCACAAAAUAAACAUAUUAAAUUGCUUGAAUGUGAUUUUGACAAAAAAAAUGUGUUUGAACCUAUUCAGGUGUUUCUUUUUUGCUAUAUGUCUUCAUUUCACUCAUUUGUCAAUGUGUGUGAAGCUGUAAAAUCACAUAUUUCAGCCUGAGGAGGAGGAGCUCCACUCCCCACCCCCAUCACCUUCAUCAUCGUCAUCAUCAUCAUUCCUCAUGGAUGUACAGAAAUGAAAAUGAGAGGCAGGGAGGAGUAUAGGAGCAGGAGGAGGGGCAGCGGGAGACAAGCUUUAUGACUGUCUGACACAGAAUGUGGGGAAAUAUGGAGGGAAAACAGAAACCAUGGAGUGAAGGAAGAAAGAGAA